AUUGAACGCUGGCGGCAGGCCUAACACAUGCAAGUCGAGCGGAUGACGGGAGCUUGCUCCUUGAUUCAGCGGCGGACGGGUGAGUAAUGCCUAGGAAUCUGCCUGGUAGUGGGGGACAACGUUCCGAAAGGGGCGCUAAUACCGCAUACGUCCUACGGGAGAAAGUGGGGGAUCUUCGGACCUCACGCUAUCAGAUGAGCCUAGGUCGGAUUAGCUAGUUGGUGAGGUAAAGGCUCACCAAGGCGACGAUCCGUAACUGGUCUGAGAGGAUGAUCAGUCACACUGGAACUGAGACACGGUCCAGACUCCGACGGGAGGCAGCAGUGGGGAAUAUUGGACAAUGGGCGAAAGCCUGAUCCAGCCAUGCCGCGUGUGUGAAGAAGGUCUUCGGAUUGUAAAGCACUUUAAGUUGGGAGGAAGGGCAGUAUGUUAAUACCUUGCUGUUUUGACGUUACUGACAGAAUAAGCACCGGCUAACUCUGUGCCAGCCGCCGCGGUAAAAC
rnacentral:rRNA from 1 species